rnacentral:lncRNA from 12 species
GAGAGACGUUUCCUUCUGAGAACAGGAGAACCCACACACGUGCUCCGUCCCACGCGCCUGUUUAGAGCCGCCCGACGCGACUCAAGACGCAGCCAGAAGGCACCAGCUCCCCUGCGGGAUUGGGGGGAGACAAAGUGCCCCUUCCGGCCCCUUCCAGCCACAACUAACACUCCUGGCCGCGGCACGUGCUGAGCUGAGCGGGGCCUGGCCCAGCUGGGGUCAGAGACACAGGGCCCAAAGGCGCACCUGCUGCCCUCGUGUUGGCGACGGGGGACUGAGCAUCAGAACGACAGGCGCCCCCCAACCAGCCGUGAGGAUGCCGCAGGGAGGGUCCUGUCCACCCCAACCAACAGAGGGGCGCUGCUCUUCACAUGCACUCGGGGUGCAGGGACCAGAGCCGCACCCGGAGCGCAAACAUUUGAGUGUUUUGUUCAGAAUUUGGGCCCCAGACAAAGACAGAGCUGGGCCGCAGGGCUCUGCCGCUCACCAGCUCGCGGCCCGGGGACCCCGGAGCUCUGAGCUUCAGCCACAGCAACUCGAAGGUGCAGUGAAAUCGGCCUCCACCCCCGCAGGGCAGUGACGGGUCAGGUGAGCGCUCGCUCGUCCCCCCAGUACUUAUCGGGUUUACUCUGUGCCAGACCCGGUGUAGGCGCCGGGGGAGCCUCGUGAACAAACCAGCAGAGGAGCCCAGCCUCGUAGAGACUGCAGGCCACGGACGAGAAGAGAAGCGCGGUAGAUACGGAUAGAUGAGGACGUCACGGAGCCUCUGCUGGAGGGCGGUCAGCACCAAGGAAAGGAGGAAGAGGAGAGCGGGUGAGGGAGUGCUGGGGACUGGGGCCUGCAGACGGCCCAGGGGGCUUGUUGAGAGGGCGGCUGCUGAGCUAAAAGCAGAGGAACAGGACGCUUGGUGAGCCAGGUACGGGGAAGGAGCAUCCCGGGCCGAUGACGCGGCUGGGGCAAAGGCCCUGGGGCGGGAGCACGGCGUGGUGCGCUGGAGGAAGGAAGCCGGGCGGCCAGAGAGAGAGCAGGGAAGGGAGCACCGCGCGGUGGAGCGGCAGAGAGGGCGGCCGGCUGGGCCUUGUCAGCCGCUGCAGAGGAGCGAAAGUGUGGCUUGAUUGUACCCGAAGAGCAGGUGAAAGGACGGCUGUGACCCUCCUUGACGGUAACACCAAUACCCGUGGCCCCACCGGGUGCUGCAGGGUCGGAACACUCAGGUCUCUGGGGGAGCCACACUGUAGCCCUCCGGCUGCGUAUCCCCGACGGUGGCCAUUCGUCUCUGCUUGGGGCUUGGGUCUGGUCUCAGAGCAGCACCUGCCGUCCCCCAGCGGGCUAGCUCUGGCCACCAGAGCCCCGCCUGCCGUCGGCGCCCGGGAAUCCGCUUUCCUAGAAUCCCAUCAAGGGCCUGAGCCUCCGCAGCACAGCGCAAGCCUGCCCCCUCCCUUCAGAAGCCGAGGACAGCAGUGGGGCCCGCGGGGUCUUCCUUUCGGCAACCGAGCUCCGGGGAAACUCUGGUGAAGCAAGGAAAGCAGGCGCUCCGCCUCGCCCUCCCUCGCCCCUGCCCAGGACUGGGCCCCGAGGUUAGAGCCUGGAAGUUAGCGACCCAGAACCCAAACCCGCAGUCGGGGGCUCCCACGGGGCAGGACGCACGGGAGACCCCAGCGAGGCGGGACUCGCCCCUGCAGCCCGGUGCCCGCUGGAGCCACACGCGGCCGGUCCGUGGGGGUCACGCUGCUCCCCCCCCGCCCCCCCCUCCCCGCCCAGGGCUCCGGGAGGCUGGGGUGGUGCAGGCUGCGGGGACGGGAUGCAGGGGCGGGGCGUGGGCUGCGCAGCGGCCUCCCGCCCCCGCCCGGACC